rnacentral:rRNA from 1 species
GACGAACGCUGGCGGCGUGCUUAACACAUGCAAGUCGAACGGAAAGGCCCUUCUUGCAGGGUACUCGAGUGGCGAACGGGUGAUUAACACGUGGGUGAUCUGCCCUGUACUUCGGGAUAAGCCUGGGAAACUGGGUCUAAUACCGGAUAGGAGCCAUUUUUAGUGUGAUGGUUGGAAAGUUUUUUCGGUGUAGGAUGAGCUCGCGGCCUAUCAGCUUGUUUGUUGGGUAAUGGCCUACCAAGGCGGCGACGGGUAGCCGGCCUGAGAGGGUGGACGGCCACAUUGGGACUGAGAUAAGGCCCAGACUCCUACGGGAGGAAGCAGUGGGGAAUAUUGCACAAUGGGCGCAAGCCUGAUGCAGCGACGCCGCGUGGGGGAUGACGGCCUUCGGGUUGUAAACUCCUUUCGCUAGGGACGAAGCUUUUUGUGACGGUACCUAGAUAAGAAGCACCGGCUAACUACGUG